UUAAGUUCAGCGGGUAGUCCUACCUGAUUUGAGGUCAAAUUUGUCAAACACCAAAGGGUGUACAAGUUGGAAGCAGCGCAAUCUGUUCAUGCAGUAUACCAAGAGGCAUAGAUAAUUAUCACACCUGUAGCAGUUUCUCUGCUCGGAGACCACUAAUGCAUUUCAGGGGAGCCGACUUUGAAAAGCCUGCAAAAUAACAC
rnacentral:misc_RNA from 1 species